rnacentral:lncRNA from 1 species
GUGCUGUCACUUUCCCUUCUCUUCUCUCUGUAGGGGCAGGAGAACACAGGGCUGUGUUUUAUUUGAUGGAGAUCAAUGUCUUGCUUGUUUUCCUUCUGUGUUCCUAACAAGCAUGGAGCAAAUGCCCAUGUCAGACACGACUGCACAGGGAAAACCUGCUCCUCCUCUGCCUGUGAUGUGCGGUGACUUGUAAUUCACAGUCUCUGUGAAAAGGCAACCGGAGCUGUGAAGCUGGCUGUUAGGAGAAAGCAAAUUUUACCCUGUUUGUAGGAGGUGGAACAGACCCCCCUGCAUUUACCAAGCGUGAUGCAAAGCGCCAUAAAUACUUGUAACGAAUAAGCAAGAGAGGAUUUCUGCUGCUGGAGACGGAGGAUGAAUUAAAAACAUGUGCCUUUGUUUGGAGGGGUGUCUAAUGGAGCCAAAUGUGCCCUAAACACUGCUGACUUCUUCCUCCCCUAGCAUCAUCACCAGGACACCCUGCAGGGAGCAGCAUAAUGAUGGGAGAGGAUCGACCCCAGGUGCUAAUGGUGCUGGUUACCCCAUCUCACUUUCAGCAGGACCUUUCUACAGCCAUGACCAACGCUGAGCAUUUCAAGCAGGGGAAACUGAGGCAUGGUCAAGAAGCCCCAGUCACAGGGAUGCUUAAGCUUGGGUGAUCUCCGGAGGGCAGAUGCUGUAAUUAACUGCUGUGCAUGGUGGGGAGGAAACCGGUGUUUUGUGAGCUCCCAAAAGAGCAAAGCUGAGCUCUCCUCAGGCCUGCCGGAGGACGUUUUCUCUUCAGAGAGGCUGAGGAGUGAAACUCCGAUGUCUGGUAGCAGCCUGGCCUCACAGGGGCUGUCACCCAAAUGGGGCAGGCAACAGCCCCCUUUUGGGGCAGGGUGUGGGGUCGUGUGGGGUUAGAGGGAGCCAGCGGUCAGGAGAGCCCUGACUGUCUGCAGCUUUGAGGGAUGGGUUUUGGUAAAGGACUGGGGGUCACUCCUGUGUUUGGAUGAAGUUUCAGUGUUAAAAAAUACACUAUUAUUAUUAUUAUUAUUUUUUUUUUUUUUGGUGGUAGUGGUGGGAGAGAAUAGGGAAGAACCAAGGCUUUAUAUUUCUCCUUCUAUAUUUCUCUACAAGUACUGUCCCUUCUGGAGAUACAACCCAUAGCGUCACUUCUUGAUUAGGAUUUCACUGCUGGCCUGGGCACUUCCAAUUAAAUUUUUCAUUAAAGAAUAGCCUUGGAGCACUAAACACCUCCUGGCACCACAAAUUCCUGCUCGGGAUGUAUUGAUAUGAUGCACACUGGAGAUCUUUCAAACCAUACAGCAUCACACCUAUCUGCAGGAAUAAAUCAGCAAAAUUAUAUUUUGGAUGUAUCUGG